UAACUUGAGAGUUUGAUCCUGGCUCAGAACGAACGCUGGCGGCACGCUUAACACAUGCAAGUCGAACGAAACCAUGGAGCUUGCUUCAUGGUUUAGUGGCGCACGGGUGAGUAACGCGUGGAUACCUGCCUGUUGGUGGUGAAUAACUCUGGGAAACUGGAGCUAAUACAGCAUAAGCUCGGAAGAGGAAAGGCCGAAAGGUCGCCAAUAGAGGGGUCUGCGUCUGAUUAGGUAGUUGGUGAGGUAAUGGCCCACCAAGCCGAUGAUCAGUAGCUGGUCUGAGAGGAUGGUCAGCCACACUGGAACUGAGAUACGGUCCAGACUCCUACGGGAGGCAGCAGUGGGGAAUAUUGGACAAUGGGGGAAACCCUGAUCCAGCGA
rnacentral:rRNA from 1 species